rnacentral:misc_RNA from 1 species
GCAAACUUGGUCAUUUAGAGGAAGUAAAAGUCGUAACAAGGUUUCCGUAGGUGAACCUGCGGAAGGAUCAUUAUCGUGUUAGUGAUUGUCUUCGGACAAUCCAUCACACCCUUUUGUGUAAACUUUCUUGUUGCUUCGGUGAGUUCGCUCACCGAUCUUCAAACUCUUUUGAUUUCUUAUUGUCCGAGUACUUUUAUAAUCAAAUAAAACUUUCAACAACGGAUCUCUUGGUUCCGGCAUCGAUGAAGAACGCAGC